AAAUGAAUUGACGGGAGCCCGCACAAGCAGUGGAGUAUGUGGUUUAAUUCGAAGCAACGCGAAGAACCUUACCGGAGCUUGACAUCCGCAGAAGGCUGGGUAAAUCCGGCCGUGCCCUUCGGGGAGCUGCGAGACAGGUGGUGCAUGGUUGUCGUCAGCUCGUGUCGUGAGAUGUUGGGUUAAGUCCCGCAACGAGCGCAACCCUUACUGUUAGUUGCUACGGAAGAGCACUCUAACAGGACUGCCGUUGACAAAACGGAGGAAGGUGGGGACGACGUCAAAUCAUCAUGCCCCUUACGUUCCGGGCUACACACGUACUACAAUGGCGUAACAGAGGGGAGCAAGGGCGCGAGCCGGAGCAAAUCCCAAAAUAACGCCCCAGUUCAGAUUGCAGGCUGCAACUCGCCUGCAUGAAGUCGGAAUUGCUAGUAAUCGCGAAUCAGCAUGUCGCGGUGAAUACGUUCCCGGGCUUUGUACACACCGCCCGU
rnacentral:rRNA from 1 species